rnacentral:rRNA from 1 species
UGCGUAGGCGGCAUGAUAAGUCAGGGGUGAAAGCCCACAGCUCAACUGUGGAAUUGCCUUUGAUACUGUCAAGCUUGAAUUAGGUUGAGGUUGGCGGAAUGUGACAUGUAGCGGUGAAAUGCAUAGAUAUGUCAUAGAACACCAAUUGCGAAGGCAGCUGGCUAGACCUUAAUUGACGCUGAGGCACGAAAGCGUGGGGAGCGAACAGGAUUAGAUACCCUGGUAGUC